UACGUAUGGUGCAAGCGUUAUCCGGAUUUACUGGGUGUAAAGGGAGCGUAGACGGUUGUGUAAGUCUGAUGUGAAAGCCCGGGGCUCAACCCCGGGACUGCAUUGGAAACUAUGUAACUAGAGUGUCGGAGAGGUAAGUGGAAUUCCUAGUGUAGCGGUGAAAUGCGUAGAUAUUAGGAGGAACACCAGUGGCGAAGGCGGCUUACUGGACGAUCACUGACGUUGAGGCUCGAAAGCGUGGGGAGCAAACAGG
rnacentral:rRNA from 1 species